rnacentral:lncRNA from 1 species
GAAAAAAUCAUCCAGUCUCUGAAGCUUUGCCCAGGAUCCAUUGCUGCAGCUUCCUGAAGUUGUGUCCGUUAAAAGGCAGGGACCCGGUGUCCAGGCUACAGAGGGUGACUCCAGGUUCCACACCACCACUGUGGACCAGUGUGCCUAUGGACUUAGGAGAGUUCCCAGCUCACACAAGGGGGCUGCCCCAGAGGGUGUUCAGCUUGUUGCCAACAGUUGCUGAAGCCAAAGUCUGCAACCUUGAUGUUCAGGUCAAGCAGCCAGAAACAGGUGUUCUGGCUUUAGGUCCCUGUGGACAAUGCCAUUCUCUCCUUCCCAGGCUACUGAUGUCCUGGGUUGCUCCUCUUAUGGUGGAAGCUCAAGAUGGAAUGGCUGGAGCUUGGCUGCCUCCGGUUAGAGCCUGGGCUCUGUAUUGCAGACGUCACCUGGCAGAAUUCCUCAUGGGCCCCUUUUGUCGUGGGUGCGACUGCUGGGCCAGGGUUGUCGUGGGUAGUAAAGGUAUUUACCAAGACAACUGUGAGUAAAGAAAGGCAAAUUUAUUACAGAAACUAUGAAAAUACAUUGCAAGAAUGCAGCAUGCAGCACAGCAGAGAAGGGGCUGUCUGCAAAGAUGAAGGACUGGAGGGAAGUUUUCUAAGGUUGUGCUGGACGGGGCUAUGUGCAGGUGAGCUUGUGCUAUAUGCUAAGAUAUGUUGGAAUAAUUUUAACUGCCAGACCUUUCCUCUUCUGGUGCCCGAGGGAAACGCCCUGCUGCUUUUAGCUGUCUUGUAACCCACACGCCUUUUCACUUCUGAAGUUGCAAGAUAACGGCUGUGGUUUUUCACACAAAAGGGUUGCAGACUGGGUUAGGUCCCUGUUCCGCCAACCUGGCUCUUUCCCAGUUUCAGUUAACUUAGUGGUUUACUAGAGCCCCACACCUUUCUCUUUCAUAUGGCCAUGAUCCAGGAGGUAAUCCGUCACCUCUCCUCCGCUAGAGUGCUCCAUGGCCAGGGGUAAUCCUCACCUCUCCUCCGCUAGAGUGUUCCAUGGCCAGGCAGUGUUUCCUGGGUCCAGAGCACCUCAAACAAUUUCAGUGUUGUGGUGACUCAGGGCCUUCACCAUACAGACUUGACAGCAUAGUCUAGAAGCUGGAGGGGCUCUGUGACUCCAUUAAUGACAGUCACUGCCACGGUUUCCCCAGGCAGGAUGUGCCAGGAGAACUGCUCCAUGUUGGCUCAGCAGAAUGUUGUUAUAGGUAGCUCAAAAAGAGAGGGAACAGGGCUUCUCUAGAUUAUUUCAGGGAAUGAGCUAUUAUUUGAAUGUUAAUUUGACUAUUUUAUCAAUUAAAAAUGUAAGGCCCAAGAAACUUCAGUUAGGAAGAAUGAACAAAUUGAAUAAAUACUGUUAAACUUUAUGCUUCUUUCAGCAAAUAUUUUCUGCUCGUCUCUAUGAGUCAGGCACUUUGCUAGAUACCAUAACAUAGAAACAUAGCAUCAAUCCAAUAUGGUGUGGGUACUGUAUGUCAAAUUUUAAAAUAUAAGUGCUAUAUAAGAAACUUCUCAGUGCCCUGGAGGCAGGGUCCAGAGACAUAUCCUGUGGAUGACUGGGGCUGAGGUUUAAGGGAUGAGCCUCGGUGAUGAGACAGAUGGGAGAGGGCACCGAGGAAAAGCGUCUUCAGGCAAUCGUGGUUCAGUGAGCUGCAGCCGUCGCGGCAGGAGAGUGAGGAGCGCGGCCUAUCUGGUGAUUUGCUGUGGUUAUAUUCUGUAAACUCGCCUCGGGUCCUGAAGUAUUGCUUCUGGGGAAACACAGGGUAAGGUUCCUGCAAGCCUCUGGUUGCAAUAUUUUCAACUGCCAAGGCACCAUUCAUGUUCCAUGGGUUCAUUUUCCAACAUCCCUGUAAAACAAGGCAGUCCCAUCAGUGUUGAAAACUGCUCUCCACAUACCCUUUUCCCAUAGAGUACUUCCUGAUCUACAGAGCUGCCACUCCUGAAAAGCUAACACUUUCCAUGCCAUGCUGCCUUUUGAAAGGUGCCAGCCAGGCAGCAUUAGCUAAGGCCUCUUUUUGGCUCUCCUCACAACAGUGCUGCCCGCUGUGCUUUCAUUGGUCAUCAUCUCAUGAAGUCACAAAUGUAGCUGCUUUUCCGUGGUUUCCAUGGUUUUGCCACGCUCCAGGGGGUGUUAGUUUUGCACUUUCCCGAGCAGCCUCGUGUACAGGUUGGUGAAGCUCCCCUUCCUCUUUCUGGAUGCACUGUAGUGUUUGUCAUUAGCGUUGAACUCACAGGUCGCAGCACUAGAACCCACACCUGAACCAAGCUUGGCUAACAAGCGUUUUCUCUGUAAGGCACAUCACAGCCUUCUUGCUCAUAAGGACACUAGACAGCGCUUCAGCAUUAUGCUUGGAGGCCAUUUCAAACAGUGAAAUCAACAACAACAAGCUCAAAACUGCAAAAGAAGUGGUACUAUAGAGACCAUGAGAAGACUGGUUUGCAGGUUGAGAGUAGGAACAAGAAGGCAGCAUGGGGCCCUGCAUGGCCUCCACUGGGAGGCCGAUGGCUCAAAUUGUUGCCCUGCUCUGCACAUGUUUUCCUGUGACUGUGAAAGCAACACGAGUAUUGAUUUGGGGGUUAAAAAUACAUUUUAACAAGCAGAAAAGUUCACAAAUAUGAAAUAGUGGCUAGAGAGGACCACCCCCAUGCUGGAGCUGCAGACAGAGGCUGUUGCGAGUGCGAGGCUUGCUCCUAUCCCGGGAGCUUCUGGUUGCCACCAGCACCUUGUAAGCCAGGGAGUGGUGUCACCUGUACUGUAGCAAAAGCACCUUUUCUCAAUGUGAAGUAUGGCUUGAAGAGAGGAAGAUGGAAGACUGGCUGGAAGAUGGCUGUGUUAGGGGUGAAGCAAGGAUGGGGGUGGAUUGACCAAGCUGGGCCAGAGGUGCGAGGAGCUGAUCUGCGAGCCCUGUGUGCCUGUGAGUCCUGGCGGAGUGGCCGUGCAUGGUGACAGGGAGGAGGCAUCCAGGACAGCACCCACGUUCCCGCCUGAGGCACAUGAGGGUGGAUGACAGGGUUCGGGGCCCUAGCCUUCAAGUCAGACACACCUGAGUUCAAAUCCAGACUCCACCACUGACUGGCUGUGUAGCCUUAGACAUGUUCCUUCACUUCCCUAAGCGUCCAUUUUCUCAUGUCCAAUACAUAGAUCACUAUGCCAUAGGAAUAUUAAAUCACUCAGUGAUUUUGAGGUUAAAAUGAGUGCUGGUGCUUUUUAUUGAAAUAAAGAAAAUGGGAAAAGAAGCAGCAUUUGAGGUGUGAGGGAGGGGAAUCUGGGCAUGGGGAGUUGGAUGUGCCUGUGGACACCGAUGAACUAAUGUCCAGCAGCCAUCCAAUGUGCUUCCAGGAUGCUGGGGCCAGGAUGUGGGGCAGCAACAUACAGACCUGGAAGUUACAAGCAGGCAGGCAGCUGCUGCAGCUGUGAAGAGCAGGCAGUGCAGGAUCAGAGGCCCGAGGGUAAAGCCUGGGGAAUGCCAGCAUUUAGGAAGAGGCCACUGGAGAUCAGAAAAGAGCAGCAGGAAAAGCAGGAGGGUGUGGAGGGAUGGGAGGUGCAGGAGGAGGGUUUCCAAGAGGGAGGGGCAGGAGUCGGUGUUCUGCCGGCAUGGACUGGAAGUCGUAGCACUUUUGAACUGUGGGGACCUAAGACAUCUUUUAGUCUAAUCCCCUUAUCUAUCCUGAAGAAGAAAUCAUGAUUCCAAGGUGACAUGAGUUGUUUGCUUUAGGUCACAGUGAUUUCACAUUGGGAUACCUCGAUUUCUAAUAAGUAAUAGAAUAUUUAAUAAAUACUCUAGAAUUUGGAAUUGCUCCUAUUCCAGUCACACUGGAUAUUUUCCCAAUUUGAUGAAACUGAUAUUUUAACAACUGUUAACCAUUCCAUGUACUAAGAUGCUUAUAGUCAAACUGCCUCUUAAACCUAUUUUUUUGUAUAUUUAACAAAUUUUGCUAUAAUGUUAAAAACAACUUAUAACUCAUCAAACUGCAUUUUAAUUUUAGUAAACACAAAUUACACUGAAACGGGAGUGUUCCCUGGCCCCUCUCACAGGACGUGUGACAAGGGUGCGGCUCGCUGCCUGUUCAAACCCCUUACGGGAGGGGGAUCACGCAGAGGGACAGGUGCAGGAGCCCAAGUGGGUGUGUGCUACAGUGUGCUCUUUUAGUCUUGGCAUCUGUGGAUAGCUUGAGUAUUAACCAGCUCAGUGGACCCUCAGCCUUUCUGCAAAGGCAGAGGGUCUUCGUGACAGCUUUCUGUAUCCCAAGCUCUUGUCCAGGAUCCUGGAAGAAUCCGGUCACACACAGACUUGAAGGAUAAAUGCAGGGGUUUCACUGAGGGGUAGAAGUGGCUCUCAGUGGGAUGGAUGGGGAGCUGGAAGUGGGGAGGGAGUGCGAAGACGAUCUUCCCCUGGAGUUUGGCCACUGGAUGGCCAAACUCCUCUGUUACCACCCCCAGCUGAACUCCUCUCAGCGUUCAGGUGUUCCUCAUCUUCUGUCUCUGCCAUGCCGUUCUGCUGUUUGACUGCUUUUCUCUUCAUCUCUUCAUCUGCUCCUGGAGCCUGGGGUUUGGGGUUUAUAUGGGUACAGGAUAUGGGGGUGUGGUAGGCCAAAGGGCAACUUUUUGGGUACGAAAACAGAAAUGCCUGUUCCCAGUUAGGGCCAUGGGUCUCCAGGCUUGAGGGCGGGGCCUUUGCUGGGGAGCCGCCCUCUUCUAUGCAGUAUUUCCCUGUCUCUUUUCUAUAUCAAUACCUCAAUAAAAUUUAGUUUUAAAAAAUAGCAUAUGUAAAAAGUUUGGCUAUUUAAAAAGUAAUUAUGUCCUAAAUUAUUUUGUAUACAAAGACCUGAGGACUUGAAAUAUUGUAAUAAUUGGAGCUUGUCUCUGCUUUAAGGGCACCACUCGCCCCUAAUCCAUCUUGGUUUCCCCCACAAGGCAGCAGGAGUGCCCAUGAAUGAACAUGGGUGAAAUCGUCGGAUACAGGUAGUAAAUACAUUCUAUUUCCUGAAAAAUAUUACCUAACUACAUGUCUAGAUAUGGAAUUGCAUUUUCAAGCCAAGUUGGAAUUACAAAUUGUAGCCCAUUUGAAAAUGCAUACAAAUGUGUGACAUAUACACCCAGAGGAAAGAAGUCACAGUUAUGAAAGAACGAAGUGGGAAAAUAUCUUUUUCAUGUAAGAUUGAGCAUUUUGGUUGAUACUGUGAUAAAAAAUCUUGUGACUGAUUCUCUUUUGCAUUGGUUUUUAGUGUCAUUUGCACUCUGCCCAACUCAGAUAAAAUUGUAUAUGAUGUAAAUAGCAGGAAACUAAACGGUGAUAUUGUCCUGAAAGGAAGCCACUUCAUUUUUCAAAGAUUUCUUCCGCGGCAGGGAUCUAGGAGUGUGCAGGGAUGGAGUUUUGCAUUUCUAGAGGAAACAGCAGGCAGGGUGUGUGCAGCCGGAAAGGGGGCGUCUAGGUUCCAAGGGCAAAUCCCACCCCCUUAGAGGGGAUUGGAGAGCCUGGGAAAGAGGCUGGGCUGCCUGUGAUCCCC